UGACACGCCGAUGCGAUUUCGGUCAAAUCAUGUAUCAUUUUAGUGGCGGACGGGUGAGUAACGCGUGGGUAACCUGCCUUACACUGGGGGAUAACACUUAGAAAUAGGUGCUAAUACCGCAUAAGCGCACGGGGCCGCAUGGUCCUGUGUGAAAAACUGAGGUGGUGUAAGAUGGACCCGCGUCUGAUUAGCUAGUUGGCGGGGUAACGGCCCACCAAGGCAGCGAUCAGUAGCCGGCCUGAGAGGGUGGACGGCCACAUUGGGACUGAGACACGGCCCAAACUCCUACGGGAGGCAGCAGUGGGGGAUAUUGGACAAUGGGGGAAACCCUGAUCCAGCGACGCCGCGUGAGUGAAGAAGUAUUUCGGUAUGUAAAGCUCUGUCAGCAGGGAAGAAAGAAAUGACGGUACCUGACCAAGAAGCCCCGGCUAACUACGUGCCAGCAGCCGCGGUAAUACGUAGGGGGCAAGCGUUAUCCGGAAUUACUGGGUGUAAAGGGAGCGUAGACGGUUAUGUAAGUCUGGAGUGAAAGGCGGGGGCCCAACCCCCGGACUGCUCUGGAAACUAUAAAACUAGAGUGCAGGAGAGGUAAGCGGAAUUCCUAGUGUAGCGGUGAAAUGCGUAGAUAUUAGGAGGAACACCAGUGGCGAAGGCGGCUUACUGGACUGUAACUGACGUUGAGGCUCGAAAGCGUGNGGAGCAAACAGGAUUAGAUACCCUGGUANUCCACGCCGUAAACGAUGAUUACUAGGUGUCGGUGGGUAUGGACCCAUCGGUGCCG
rnacentral:rRNA from 1 species